UACGUAGGGGGCAAGCGUUGUCCGGAAUCAUUGGGCGUAAAGCGCGUGUAGGCGGCUCGAUAAGUCUGCUGUGAAAGUCCAGGGCUCAACCCUGGGAUGCCGGUGGAUACUGUCGAGCUCGAGUCCGGAAGAGGUGUGUGGAAUUCCUGGUGUAGCGGUGAAAUGCGCAGAUAUCAGGAGGAACACCGAUGGCGAAGGCAGCUCGCUGGGACGGUACUGACGCUGAGGCGCGAAAGCGUGGGGAGCAAACAGG
rnacentral:rRNA from 1 species